AAUGAACGUUGGCGGCGUGGAUUAGGCAUGCAAGUCGUACGGGCCAGCAAUGGUCAGUGGCGAAAGGGAGAGGAAUACGCAGGUAUCUGCCUCCGGGUCGGGGAUAGCCACGGGAAACUGUGGGUAAUACCCGAUAACGUCUCCGGACCAAAGGUGUGAUUCCACCUGGAGAGGAGCCUGCGUCCUAUUAGCCUGUUGGCGGGGUAAUGGCCCACCAAGGCUACGAUGGGUACGGGGUGUGAGAGCAUGCCACCGCUCACUGGGACUGCGACAGUGCCCAGACACCUACGGGUGGCUGCAGUCGAGAAUCUUCCGCAAUGGGCGCAAGCCUGACGGAGCGACGCCGCGUGUGGGAUGAAGGCCUUCGGGUUGUAAACCACUGUCGUAGAGGAGGAAGGACCGGUGCAGAGCCGGUUUGACCUAUUCUAGGAGGAAGGGUGGGCUAAGUUCGUGCCAGCCGCCGCGGUAACAC
rnacentral:rRNA from 1 species